rnacentral:rRNA from 1 species
AUUGAACGUUGGCGGCAGGCCGUUAUACAUGCAAGUCGAACGAGAAAGCACCUUCGGGUGCGAGUACAGUGGCGGACGGGUGAGUAACGCGUAGGAAUCUACCUUUAGUGGGGGACAACUCGGGGAAACUCGAGCUAAUACCGCAUAAUAUCUAUGGAUCAAAGUGGGGGAUCUUCGGACCUCACGCCUAAAGAGGAGCCUGCGUUGGAUUAGCUUGUUGGUGGGGUAAUGGCCUACCAAGGCUACGAUCUAUAGCUGGUCUGAGAGGACGAUCAGCCACACUGGAACUGAGACACGGUCCAGACUCCUACGGGAGGCAGCAGUAGGGAAUCUUGGUCAAUGGGCGCAAGCCUGAACCAGCCAUGCCGCGUGUGCGAAGAAGGCCCUAGGGUUGUAAAUCCCUUUCAGCGGGGAAGAUAAUGACGGUACCCGCAGAAGAAGCCCCGGCUAACUCCGUG